GGCGGUACUGCGCGCUGCGCGAGGAGGGCGCGAGGCAGCCCCGAAAACGAGUCCGCAGUCGCUCCCUCCUCAAAAAGUCGUGAGGUGUGUAACAUAUAACGUUCACUGAAAUGAUUAGCUCUUUAACUGAUAAUUAGCACAUUCACUAAGAAGCUUUAAAAAUAGGGAGGUUUGCUUGCAUGAAAAUCUUUUGGCAAUUUGAAUGCAAGAUCCUGAAAUGUCCUCUUUGGUUAAAGAGGAAAGAGAAAAAAUGAACCUGGUUUACUUAUGCCCACAGGAGCCAAUUGCAAUAUCUUUAUAUGUAAAACAAAGUGAUUUCUCACUGAAAGACAGGCAAAAUGAAAAACAAGUUAAAAACCACAGCUAAACUGUAACGAGAUACACUUGGGGACACAAAAAGGAAGGUAAGAUAUAAAACCACCUGAAAAUUGAUGUGAGUUGAUUAUCGAUCUUCGAUUUCUUUCUGUCUGCUUCAAGAUAUAGUCCUCUGUUCUGCCACAUCGCUCUCUGGAUUCUAAGAGAACUCUCUUUGUUCAGUAUCUGGCCUUGUGUAUUUUGCUAUUUCCUCCUAAUUCUGUGUUUUAAAGUUUAUCUUCAGCUAAGUUUUUAGGUGCAAAUAGACACCCAACUCUAUUGAGAAAUUCAGUGCAUAGCUCAUGUCUGUUCAUUAGUAGAAUGCUAUGAGCAAAUGUUCUGCCAUUUAAAUAACUCAGCCUUUUCCAGUAGAAGUUCAGGUCAGCCUGUAUACCUCUAUCUCCUUGUAAGUAUAACUUCUUAUUAUUUUUAUCUUAAGUACAGUGUAAUUAUAUUACAUUUGCCAUCUCUGUAAAAAAAUAUUUCUUAGUCUUGAUUAGAUUCUAGCCAGGCAUCCAGUGUUGUAGCUCUCACAUUCUCACUACAAGUAGUAAUAUGUUCCCUAUUUUCCUCGCUUCCAUUUCAGUUCAUCUGCACAUCAUAAAUCACAUGUGGACAGAAAUGGUCUCUGUACUGCACGUGAAUCCUGUGCAAGCUCUACCAAAACCAGCCGUGCCAGGACUCCUUUAUGCAUUUAUUUAAUAAAACCUAUUUCCAAUACAGUCUUUCUGCUACAGGCUCUCGAAAUGUCUGAAGUCAAAACAGCUGCAGUACGUAGGUAGUCAGUUUGGAACUGGAUCAUCACUGCAUCUCCUUGUUAGCUAGGAAGACUGAGAUAUUACAAGAUGAGUGUGGAAAAAUUUGAACAUAGGUAGCAAAUGGAAAUAAAAGGCUACUUUUCAUCAGCCAAAUAGACACACCUGGGAAAAUACAGAGAUGCUGGCUGAUUAACUUUGGGGUAUGAUAACAUUGUUCAAGUGCAGAGCAGAAUAAACUUUAUGUUGGUUUCCAAGCAUAGCAAAUUGAAGAAAAACAAAUACUGCAUCAAAAUGAAAUCCACAACAAAGUCAAUUACAGGCAGAUUGUACAGCUAUCCCUGUUUAUAAGUGAAGUUAAUCCAGACAUUCAAGAUGUUUUUUGCCGAGUAAGCUACCCUGUUAUUCUACAAAAAUGUGUGCACUAAAAAACAAAUUCAGCAUCACUAAGAAGUUUAUCUUUAAGACUGGAAUAUAUAUAUAUGUAAAUAUAUAUAUACACACAAUAAUCUUAUAAUUGUAAUGCCUUCUAUUUUAUUAUGUUGGCCCACAACCUCAGAGGCAGAUGGUGGUGGUAUGGCAGUAGAGGCUGAACAUUCCCACCACUAUUCCAUGACAUUUUGUUGCUGUGUGACAGAUGGUAGCAGAGGGGCAACCCGUCAAAAUGAUGUCUGACAUGGAAGUGUGUAUGAAGCAAAGGUGUGUCACUAAAUUCCUCCAUGCAGAAAAAUGACACCCACUGACAUUCAUUGAUACUUGCUGCAUUUUUGUGGAAUCCAAAUAAUGGAUGUGAGCAUAGUGAGGCAGUGGGUGGUGCUUCAACAGUGAUGACAGUGAUGUGGAAGAUAUCCAUGUUCUGGACUGCCAUGCAGCUUUUCAUGAACGUGGUAUACAGGCUCUUGUUCAUGGCUGGCAAAAAUGCACAGCUAAUGGUGGUGAAUAUGUUGAAAGAAAUACAUUUUGUUGCCAAGAAUUUGCUCUAUCAGAUAGUGUUAUUGUGUUCUUUGUAUCUGUUGAAGUUUCCAUGGAAAUAAAUAGGAGGCAUUACUUUUGGAGCAACCUACACGCUAAUCCUUUUGGAUCAGUGGAAUAAAUUCCUCAUUAUAAUUACAUGUGACUAGCUUCAUUACUUGCAUGUUUUAUUUCCUUCCCUGUGAUGACUUAGUAUUUCUGAACUGAGCAGCACUUUAUUCCCUAGGUCUGAAAUGUGAGCCUGUGUAGGCCUUUGGAUAUGGCAUUCAGACGUCAUUAGUCCCGCUUUAAAGCUGAAGACAGAUUUCUUACUGAUUUAGCUGCACCACAGGUAUCAUACAGUGUACAGUCCCUUUGUUCGUUUGUCAGAUGUUGUUGAAUGCACUUUCAACUACGCCUUUUCCCAAAAUGUGCUGGUUUAGGAUCUGCACUGCUAUGCAGAUCCAUCUUUGUCUGUGAGUAUCAUCUACCCUUACUCGGUUUCAUUUUGUUUGAUACUUAUGUCAGCCAGAAGUGAAAACAGUCUGAGUGGAAAAAAGUGUAAUCUUUUCAAAAAGCACUGUCUCUGUACGCUGCAUUUUCUAAAAUGCACUACUAUUUAAUAAAAUCGUGUCUCCUGUUUGAGAAUUCCCCACAAAAUACUGAAGACAAAAUAGCAGGAAAAUCAAUCUAAAUUAUUCUGUUUAUUCCUCUCUGGUAUUACAGUAUUGAGAUAAACGGUACAAACAUUUAACAAGUUUGAACGGGGCAAAGAUUAGCUUAGCAAAUUGCUACCAGGAGAUGGCACCAUUAACAAAAUAAUUUAAAUGCCACAUACAGUUCCUCUCAACCAUCUGUAUGUCUGACUCCUUUGACAAUUCCAGGUGUUGUCGGAGCCCGAUACUGCAAAUCAUUUCUCCAGGCAGCCCUCACACGUGAGGGAUCCCAGGCAUGGCGAAAAGACUGCGUGUGUGACUGGCUGCAACUAAGUUGCAUACAGAACUGAAUGUAAAUUCUCUGCAAACUAAUGACCGAAGUGGACUUGCUUGGAUUAAAGACGAAAGAGCAGAAUGUGAAUACCCAAACAAUUAUUUCUGGAGACUGAAGAGUUGACUGAAGGUAGGAAUGAAAAAGGGAAAUGUUCCACGUGAUCUGCUGAUCCUGCUCCUUGAUUCCUGCAAAGAAAUGCAUCUAUUUCAUCUCAACACCCCUCAAUUUGACAGUAUUGGCAUUCAAGAUCUGAAGUUCCAUAAAUGUAUGUGUAUAUAUGUAUAUAUAUAUGUACGUAUGUAUGUAUUUCUUUUUCUUAGUAUUUGUAGUCCUGGCAAAUCUAACAGCCGGAGAAGUUUUAUCAGCCAUAGAGCAAGUUGGAACUGAAAACCACUAAGGUACUUCAGUGAUUCCAAGCUUAAACAUGCUUUGAGGCACAUUUUUCUGUUCUAAGAAACUAAGUUCAUUUUAUCUCUACUGACUUUCGGUAAGUUGUCACAUUUAUCGUUGCUCCUCUUUGCUCCUCUUUGAGUAUCUACUGAGUAUCUACCUAUUACAGGUAAGUCCACUUGCCUACACAAGUUUAUAUAAACCUAUGUCUAUUAGAGCCAUCAGAAAGUAACAUGAUUAAUGCAACUUUGGAAGGUUACUAGUUCACUAAGAGAAGAUAAUGAGUACUUCAGAAGCAGUACUUUGACAAUAGGUUCUGGAAUCACAGGUCAAAUCUCAGCACAAUUCCCUCAAUUCUUUGGCCUCCCAAAGUACCUAAUGGAAGUAAGCUUGGAACAUCAGCACGAAAGCUCGAGGUGAGCACCUUCCAGCACUAAGUUAAAAUAUCUUCAAGAGUUCAUUCCUCAGUGAAGUAUUGUGCUGAUGGUUCUGGACAAUAUUUCUCUUCCAAAUUCCACAGCUCUUUCUCCCUGUAGGCGAUUCCAUUUGAAAGUAGCCUGUGGAAGCCAUAAAUAAGAUUAAUUUUACCUACAAAUAAUUGUAUAUACAGAAAUAUGCCUAUGGGGCAUAUUGACUAUGUCAAGCGCCUGUUCCAGGGGAAAAAAAGUCAAAAAUCAGAGCCUUGCCCAUUUGGGCUGCUCAGACAGAUUAAAAGAAAUCAAUUUGCCUUUAGAACAAAAACAAGGGGCUUUAAAACUACUGUUUCUGACAAGCAGUACCUUCUGGUUUUAGGCUGGCAAAGAUUUUGAAUGAUUGUUUUAAACAUAGUAGGCAAGACCAUUUAUGCAAAAUGACAGAAUUAAGUAAGACAUGUUCUUCCACUGAUACAUGAAAAGGGUGUGAAGGAAUAUACCUUUCUAACCAGUAUCUUAGUUUGGACAAUGAAACUUCUACUUUUCCCAGAGUUUAUUCACAGGAAAAAGUCAGCGGUGAGAAAAUGGCUGUUUACAAAGGUUGAUAGUGAUAGGACAAGGGGGAAUGGUUUUAAACUGAGACAGGAGAGGUUUAGGUUGGAUAUUAGGAGGAAGUUUCUCACACAGAGGGUGGUGAUGCACUGGAACAGGUUGCUCAAGGAGGUUGUAGAUGCCCCGUCCCUGGAUGCAUUCAAUGCCAGGCUGGAUAUGACUCUUGGCAGCCUGGUCUGGUGGUUGGCAAUCCUGCACAUGGCAGGGGGGUUGAAACUAGAUGACUAUUAUGGACUUUUUCGACCCGGGCCAUUCUAUGAUUCUAUGAUUCUAAAAAUAAAAGCCACUGAAUCCAAGUUACUAGCAUUGUUGACCUCUCAUAGUCACUUCAGAUACACUGAGAGUUAAUUACUUCAAAAGAAGUUAUGUGUUCUUGUUUUUACAUGAUUCCACUGCUGUGAUUUCCUUAUUUGCAAAGUAUAAAGACAAGUAUGGAACAAAUAAGUCAAGCCACUGUAAAAAUGAAUUAACUAGAAAAAUGAAAUAAAUUUUAAUUGAAUUAUCAUUUGCUAAUGAUUUUGCCAUGAUGAGCCUUGCAUUUAACUUGCAUCCACUAACUGCAGCAAAUCAGUGAGUUCUCUGUUUUCUUUUUUCAUACUAUUUGUUAAAAUUCCCUCUACCUAUAGCCUUUAAGUUCCAUCUAAACCACAACAGAACAUAACUGCAGCAAAUCAGUGAGUUCUCUGUUUUCUUUUUUCAUACUAUUUGUUAAAAUUCCCUCUACCUAUAGCCUUUAAGUUCCAUCUAAACCACAACAGAACAUAAAACACAUCAACCAUCACCUCCAAAUUAUUUAAUUGUCAAAAUAGAAAUGUAUGUAGUCACUACUUUGUACCUAGGACAUACCUUACAUGUACUUCAGUGAUGGUGAGUCCUCUAAGGUAAAAAGAGAGAAGUGAAGGCAAGGCAAGGCAAUGUAAAUGUAUUAAAAUCUGAAAAUAAUAUGUUAGGCUCAGGGCAGAUGGAUGGAAAAAAAAGUAUGUCUCUUUCUGCAGGAGGUAAGAUGCUAUAGAGUUACAGGGCUAUUUCAAAUAUCCCAAUAUAUAUAUAUAUUUUAAUCUUUGAGAUACCUUACAUGCAAGUAUGCUAUACAAGAGGCUAUGGUCCAACUCCUGUACACUAGUUUAUGGCAUUCUCAUUACUCUAGAGAUUUUAAAGAAACUUGAGAAAUCCAUGUUCAUGCCACACAUAACAGGCAACUAAUUUUCUCACUCUUCUGUUGGCAUAAUUUGUUUUUAGCACUUUAUCCAAAGAACUGUAAGUGAAGGAAGCUAAUAAAACUCAUUAAAGACAGAAGCUUGGUAACUGCAAUCAUUAGCAUAUCUGAAGUUUGUUCUGUGUAUUAGCACCACGAAUACUCGGCUGAUGUGUAGCAAAGAGCACCUGUCAAAACAACAGAAGAGUUUCAUGCCUCACAAGUUUAAGCCCCAGGUAAGAAACCCGGUCUUGUAGGUAGGCUGAAAAGAUGUUGCAACCUGAAACGAAGGAGACUUGUAAGAGAGAAAAUGAGAUCCCUCUGGGUGCCAAUAGGCUUCUGUUUGCCACGAUUAAAUCCUCUUUGUUUCAUUAGGUACGUCAAUGAAAAACAAACAACCAGAUAAGAUAAAGGCUUGCAGCACAUCUUUCUCUUUCCCUCCCGUGACAAUUGCCACUUUUUUCCAUGGACAAGCUUAAAAGAAAUGGCUUUGCUUAGAUAAAAUUGAUGAGACCUCUGUGCAGGUGUAUAAGACAGCUUCUGGCUUUAAAAAAAAUUGUGAAGCACUUAUGUCAUCAAUGAACUGAUCAGAUGAUAAGCAUGCUUACUUCCUUAGCUCUCUAAUUACUUUUCUCUCUUGAAGAAGGUAUCUAGAAUUGCAUGAAGCCUAGGUUUAGUCUGAAAGUUUAACGUCAAUGGAUAUUCACUGAAAUUAUGCUUUUCCUGGAAAAAUCAGCCAUUGUUACAAUUCCUGAGCCUCAGCCGAAUUAGAGUAGUGUUGUAACUGGUUUGAGCCAAAUGCUUCAGCAAUUGUUUUAAAUGUUAUUGUUAAUACAACAUAGAGUUUCUAUGUCUAAACAAAAAGACAGUGGUAGCAUACUAGCUACAUAAAACUGGCAUGAAUUUUGGUCAGAUAGACAUACAUUUUAAAUAUCUCUUUGAAUGAAGAACAUCAUUCAGAGUACUUAUCACCAUCUACUGUAUUGCAAAGUACUUACAAUUUGUGCUUAGGGCAAUUAUCUUUGUAGUUCCUAAAUUUAAAGGAGUUUUCAGUGCUUCCUCCUUCCUUCCCUACAUUCUACAGAUAUGCUACCUCUAGUCAUUAAAAUGCAUGUACAGGACAAAAAUCAUUGCUGAAUUAGUAUGGGACUAAUUGCAGUAACAGUUUGUAUUAUUGAAGUUAAACUGAUACUCGGCUUAGGUAUCCUUGAUGAGGUGAGAUAAGGGUUCACUCAGGUGCAGAUACACAAUGCAGUUAAAAAAAAAAAAGAGAAGCUAAGCUAGUUUCAUAAUUACGCUUUUUUGUUGAGACUUCCUCUCAGUGAAAGAAUAGGAUUCCACAAAUGAAGUAUGCUUUACUGUGUUUAUUUACACACACACACACAGGCACACACACCUGUCUGUAAACAGUUCUUGCUUUUUUACUUUGGAGCCUUUGCAGGAAAUGCUGCUAACUCACUCUGCCCUAAGCCUGUGUUAGAUAUCGUUACUAUUUGCUAAAACCCUCAGGAGCAGAGAUGGAUUUGGCUUAUGUCUUAAUGCAGUUCUUAAGUGGCAGUUGUAGGAAUCUCAUGAACUGUGAUGAGAGCCAUGGAAGAGCUUGUUGCAGAAUAAAAAAAUAAAUGUAGAAGGAAGGAAUGAAAAUGGAAGAGAGGGCAGGACGAAAAAUUAGUGAAGAACAGAUUUAAAAAGUUUCAGCAGAUGAAGCUGAGCAAACUUUUUGCCUUGCAUUACCCGUAAUUUCCCAGUCUGAAAAUGUGUUUGUAUAUUUAAUGACACAUAGAUUUUUAAUCAAUAUUUUCUCAUGUCCUUAUCACUGCAUAAUAUUACCUUCUCAAGCCACAUUUAGAUAUGUAUUUUAUAGUAAUACAAUAUAAA